UCAAUUCUAUUAUCAUGCAUUUACUCAAAAAUAAUAAUAAAAUCAUUAAUCAAACUUAUUUUUAAUAACAAUAAAUAACAGCACGGAGAUAAAAAUCCAUUUUUUAGGAAAUCAUCAAAUCGGAGCAUUAAAUACUUAUUUAUCAAAACAUGUUGUAAUGUAUCACAAAAUUAGAAUAUAAUAUGAAAAUAGAUUUGUAUAUUUCACUCACAG
rnacentral:lncRNA from 1 species